CUCACUCUAAGUUUAGCUGCCUACAAUAACCAUAUAUCCAGAAAGUCUAAUUGCAAAUAAUUCAUUGUUACUUAAUACUAAAUUAAAUUACUCUCUGGAAAACUCUCGUAUCAAACCGCGGACUUGCGCUCUCUUGUUUAAGACAAACGCAAAUGAGGAUUGAAAAACGUAGGCCCUGUUCUCCUGCUGUGUAAACUCUCAAGGAGGGACACUGUAUUCAGCGUGGUGACUGACAGCAGAGGUGAAGGAAGCCUGCAGUGAAUAACAGAGAAGGAAAAUGAACACCCACACAUGAUGGGUCCUCAGGACAUCAGACAGCUGCUAUUAUGUCUGGAGGAUGAAAUAUUAAAGAAGAGCAGAAAAAGAGAUCAAGGUAUUUUUUGUACUCUUCAAAUAAAGCACACACACUUCUUUUUUUUUCUUGAUGUGCUAAAUUUUUACUGGAGGUUCCU